AGUCGAGCGGAUUAUCCUUCUGAGUGAGGUACGGGAGGACGGGUGAGGAACCUCUGGGCUUCCUGCCUAUAAAACUGGGAUAACUGUCGGAAACUAUAGCUAAGACCGGAUAAUUGGUUUUCUCGCAUGAAAGGAUUAUGCCCGACGGAGAUUUCUGGGGUGUAUAGAUGGGGCUGCCGCGGGUUACCUAGUUGAUGUGGUAACGGACUACCAACGGGCACACGGGUAGUGGAACUGAGAGGGUGCUCGGACACACUGGGACUGAGACAAAUCCCAGACUCCGACGGAAGGCCUGAUCCAGGAAUGUUCCGCAAUGGAUGAAAGUCUGACGGAUGAACAGCGCUUGUGCGAUGAAUGAUUUCGAAUCGUACAGCUCUGUUGCCCUAGACAAACUCCGAGGAGAGAAACUGCUCUUUGCGUGACGGCAUAGGAGAAGAAAGCCCCGGGUAACUACGGGCCACACGCCGCGGUAAUACGGAGGGGGCAAAGGUUGUCCGGAAUUAUUGUCCAUAACUGCGCUUUAACGGGGGUUCUUAAGUUGGGUGGAUAAGCCCGGGGCUCCACCCCGGUACGGGUUCAAAACUGAGAUACUCGAGAGAACGAAAGGGAAAGAGGGAUUCCCCCUGUACUGGUGUAAU
rnacentral:rRNA from 1 species